AACAUCGCGCACCUGCGGGAACCUGCGGAGGGAUCAUUACAGAGUUGCAAAACUCCCUAAACCAUUGUGAACGUUACCUAAACCGUUGCUUCGGCGGGCGGCCCGGGCCCUUCCCGGCGCCCAUCGGCCCUCGCGGGCGCCCGCCGGAGGUAAACCAAACUAUUGCAUUGUAUGGCCUCUCUGAGUCUUCUGUACUGAAUAAGUCAAAACUUUCAACAACGGAUCUCAGAUCGGAAGAGC
rnacentral:misc_RNA from 1 species